CCUACGGGUGGCAGCAGUGGGGAAUAUUGCACAAUGGGGGAAACCCUGAUGCAGCGACGCCGCGUGAAGGAAGAAGUAUUUCGGUAUGUAAACUUCUAUCAGCAGGGAAGAAAAUGACGGUACCUGACUAAGAAGCCCCGGCUAACUACGUGCCAGCAGCCGCGGUAAUACGUAGGGGGCAAGCGUUAUCCGGAUUUACUGGGUGUAAAGGGAGCGUAGGCGGCGAUGCAAGUCAGAAGUGAAAGCCCGGGGCUCAACUCCGGGACUGCCCUUGGAACUGCAUGGCUGGAGUGCGGGAGGGGCAGGCGGAAUUCCUGGUGUAGCGGUGAAAUGCGUAGAUAUCAGGAGGAACACCGGCGGCGAAGGCGGCCUGCUGGACCGCGACUGACGUUGAGGCUCGAAAGCGUGGGGAGCGAACAGGAUUAGAUACCCUUGUAGUC
rnacentral:rRNA from 1 species